rnacentral:rRNA from 1 species
GUGGGGAAUAUUGGACAAUGGGCGCAAGCCUGAUCCAGCAAUGCCGCGUGCAGGAAGAAGGCCUUCGGGUUGUAAACUGCUUUUGUACGGAACGAAACGGUCCUGGUUAAUACCCGGGGCUAAUGACGGUACCGUAAGAAUAAGCACCGGCUAACUACGUGCCAGCAGCCGCGGUAAUACGUAGGGUGCAAGCGUUAAUCGGAAUUACUGGGCGUAAAGCGUGCGCAGGCGGUGCUGUAAGACAGGCGUGAAAUCCCCGGGCUUAACCUGGGAAUUGCGCUUGGGACUGCAGUGCUGGAGUGCGGCAGAGGGGGAUGGAAUUCCGCGUGUAGCAGUGAAAUGCGUAGAUAUGCGGAGGAACACCGAUGGCGAAGGCAAUCCCCUGGGCCUGCACUGACGCUCAUGCACGAAAGCGUGGGGAGCAAACAGGAUUAGAAACCCUGGUAGUCC